rnacentral:rRNA from 1 species
ACUCCUACGGGAGGCAGCAGUGGGGAAUUUUGGACAAUGGGGGCAACCCUGAUCCAGCCAUGCCGCGUGAGUGAAGAAGGCCUUCGGGUUGUAAAGCUCUUUCGGCCGGGAAGAAAUCGCAUCAGCUAAUACCUGGUGUGGAUGACGGUACCGGAAUAAGAAGCACCGGCUAACUACGUGCCAGCAGCCGCGGUAAU